CUUCCCCAUGGGGCGAGUCCAAUGGUAAGGGCCACAAGAACUGGCCACCCAACAGGAUUCAUGACCCGCAGCCCAGGGACAGAGCCAUCUGCACAACCAAGCUAAGAGAACACGGCAGGCUUCAUCAUGCCAGACCUGGGGACAGGGUGCCAAGAAGGGGAACAGCACUCCAUUUUAUGGGUGCUCACCCCACUUUACUGCUAGUAGGAGGAGAAUCUGACCAGUAUUGGCACUACAAGAAGCUGUUGGAAUCCGCAACCAGGACUACUUGAUGCCACGCCCAGCCCUUGCCAUUCCUGCUGCUACUGCCCCAUCUCUUCCUUCCACCAUCCAGGCUGCUGCUCAACUCAGCCCCAGGAAAAGGCUCAUAUCAACAGGAUUUCUCAUUCCACCAAGUCCAGGCCUCCGCCAUAGCCUGAUCAGCCCCAAACUGAAGCACAGAGUUCAACACAGCCUGGUGGAUACCAGUCACCAUGUGGCCCUUAGUUCAUCCACCCUGACCUGGGGCAUCCUCCUGGGAGCUGAGUCCCACCUGCCUCUGUUCCAGCUGAGUGCAGGUGCCUGCCAGCAUGAAUCCAGGCACCAGAGAAGGCCGGCCCCUGAAGCCAUGGGAGCUGUCGCCUCAAACCCACCAGUUUAGGAAAUCCUCCGUGCCGCUCUUUGGUGAGGCUAGGGGUAUAGAGAACUUCUGUGUGCUUUCUGGAAACUCUUAGGAGACAUCAUGCCCUGAAGGUAGGUCCUCCUGGGAAACAAGUACCCAGUACCCAAAGAAAUGGACAACCAGAAACUUCCUGGUGUCUUCCUCCAAACAAAAGCCUCAAGCUUACACUGACUCACAGGAUGCUUAAAUGUCAUUUAAACGGCUCUGUUUUCUUUCUUUUUCACAGUCUACUUCUUAUUUUAAUGUCUUUUAAAGUGAUGUGGACCCAGGAGGCAGAAAGGCCAUGUGUUCUCUUCAGAAGGCCCUCUGAGGACAACAGUACAUGCCAUUUCAAUGAGGAAGCAACACAUACACACACACACACACACACACACAGAGAGAGAGAGAGAGAGAGAGAGAGAGAGAGAGAGAGAGAGAGAGAGAGAGAGAGAGAGAGUGUCUUGGCAUUCAGUACUAAAAAUGGUAAGAAUGUUGUAUGCCAACAGGCUUGUCAAAAUACCAACCUGAGCGCAUGAAGAAGAAAGGCAGGUGGCCAAUGCCCUCCUCAGAUGCCAGGCCCAACAGAAGAGUAACUGAGGAGGGGACCUGGAGCCCAUAAAGACCCCCAGGUCCAACCCCAGUGUUUGGUUUCAGAGUGAGAUGGGUUUGUACACUUGGUCCCUGGACAGUGGCACUAUUUGGGUAGUUUGUCAAACCUUUAGGAUAUGGUGCACAAUGGGAGGAAGAGAGUCACGGAGCAUGAGCCCCAGGUCACACACACUCCACUUCGAGAUCCAUCCUCACGUGAGCAAACGGCCUUAUGCCCCUACCACCCAGGCUGAAGGUCUCCCCUGCUGUCACAUUUUCCCUGCCACAGUAGACUGUACCUCCCAACUGUGAGCCCAAAUCAGCCCAAAUCAGCCCUUCUACCCUUCAAUUGCUUCUCCUCAGCUAUUCAGUCACAAAAACAAGAAACAUAAACCCGCAGAGACCCGGAACUCUCGGUCACCCUCCCACAUGACUGAUCAGCACAGGGGCAACACUUACUGUGGAAUUAUCAGAAGGUAGACAAGCCCAAAUAAGGCGGCCAGGAUGAGGGCGAGGACAACGGCGCUGGUGAAGUACUCAUCCUGAAGCUGGUGGUACUGUGGGGGAGGGGGAGGGAGAUGGGAGAAGGAGCACGGGUCAAGGAGGGAGGGAGGGAGAGCAAGAGAGUGAUCAGCUGGAAGACACAAACUCCUCAGGGAUUAGGACGAAGCGCCAAGUCACUCACUUUUUGCUCUCGUUCAGCGUGUUUGUACUUCAGGGUGAAGAAGUUCAGAUCUGCCAUCUCCAGCUCUGUCUGGCGGGCUUCAAGAAGACGGCUAAUGUACCUGUUGACACGUGUGCCCGGAGUGGUGUAGACCACAUUGGUAGAGAAAGAUGAACGGUUUCUGAGCUUCUCCGAGGCUGUUCUCAACGCCCUCCGCUGCAGUCGCCACGGAAAUAGAGAAAACAGCAUCAAAUGUUCCAUCAGCUGAGCAAAAGCACCCAUGUGCACUUGGUUGUCGGCCAUCCUUACUUGCUGCAGUCUGGGUAGGUUCAGAACUGUGAGGCACUGUCAUAGUGCUGCCCUCUGCUGGCUAGAGCUGGAAAUGCGGUGCCCUAACACCCAGUAUUCAAGUUCCCCGGUCUGUAUUGCAAAUCACAGAAUGUCUGUUUGAUAUCAGUGAGGAGAGGAAAUGGAUUCAAUGACAAACAUGCCCAGGACAUGCAGUCACCUGUACCCACUAGCCCACAGACGCAGGAAGGAGACUUGGAUGGGGUAACCAAGUCCACAUACGUAGAAAGGGGUGCCUAGAAGUUUGCUACAAAGGCAGCUAGCCUUUGUCUUUGAGGGAGGAAUGGUGAGAAGUGACAGGUAGCCUGGGCUGGCAGGACCAGGGUGUGAGUCCUCUUCUGUACAUCACAUGACAGAUGCAGGAAGGGACCGGGUUGUGGAAAGGAAAACAGUGUCAUCUGAAGGCACCUGCUGUGGUCUCUCAGCCAAGGACUCAUAGCAGGGACUCUGAUGCUUCCCACGCCCCAGCAGAGGACGGACUAUUAGGAUGCACUGCAGUGCAGCCGCAGAAAGGUCAGAAUAAAGAGACCCCUCCGUGUUCCAGCAAAACACAGACAAUAAACACUGGCGUUAUGGGAGGUGGAAAAGGAGAGCAGCAGGCUUGCAGAACUCUGGGACUCAAAGAGGAACUGUGUGUGACAAGGGUCCCGGGGGCAUCUUUUGCCACAUCUAUCUCAGGCCAGGAGCUAGAGAAGCCACAAUCGGAAAUGUCAAUGGGUGCAGGUAAAAACAGCAGUGGCCACGAGAAAGCUAUUGUCUCUUGGCAUAAUGAUCAAGAAUGGGAAACCAGAAAAGCAAAAUAACCACACAAUGGCAGCUAAAGACCACCACGUGAAAGUCUUUUUUCCAAGAACCCCCAACUUCCCAGUUACCCCAAACUUAGCCUACAAUCUCAACCUACAUAAGGAAAUGGCACCCCACAGCACUGUAAGGACGGAGGCCCUGAGAUACCAAAGGACAGCAGAGGCAAACGUCCCUUGGCAGAUCACCUUGAUCCACACUUGAAAGUAUUUCCUAAAAUACAACAUCCAGUUAUCAUACUCCCAAAAUGUAAACACUAACUUACAGAGACCACCCGGAGGCUAGGAUUACUAGCUCAAAGCACUACAAUGACUGGUAAAAUCCUAUGCAUCUUCAUUAAGAGUCAGAAUGAGAAAGAAUGCCCACCCUUAUUACUAUUAUCUAGUUUAAUUAUUACAUGGGAAAGAAGAACAAUAACCCUGUUUAAAGUAGAUAUUAUUACUGAUCAAGAAAACUGAAGAUGAUUUUAAAAAGUCACUGCAAUUGGUUUCAAUUAGCGAGGACCAAACAAGCUGAGCGUUCUCUUCAGUAAAUUCAUGUAGAUGAUAAUCAUCCCUCAUAAUUUUAAAACAAAAGGCUCAGGAGAUGUGGAAACAGGGAAGAAAACACACUGUGUCCAGCACACUGGCAAUGCUCCUAGCCUUGCUAAGUUGCCAUGCUGGAGCGGCUGGAGAAGCCAGGGUUUGCACACAUCAUGGACAGAAUAAGAUGCUAGAAAGAGCCCAGAUUGGCAGCAGCAGCCAAAGAUAGCAAUCCAAGAUAUCCCAAGAUAGUCCAAGAGAGCACCCCAUUAGCCCAGGAGUCUCCCCAAGCCCAGGCUAUCUGGCACUGCUCACUAAGAUGUUCAUGGAAUCAGAUGUGCCCAGGAACGCGAUACAGAGAAAUGAAGUUCCUGUUGACCAAUGAGCCCCUAGGGGAGUCAGGCCUGUGCCUAUACCUGGAGGCCAUUCAGCCACAAAGAAAAGGCUGGGAUAAGUGUGGGCCUCCAAAUGCCCGAGGCGUUUCUGGGGUGGAAAAAGCUCAGUUCGCCUGGUUACCACCCACUUCAUACACAAGCUGAUUUCCACAAGGGAACAGAGAAACAGGAACAAUCCAGAGCACUUGACUUCUGUGUCGCCCACACAAGUGGAUUUCAUGUUGCUUUAAAUUGAUAAGCUUAGAUUUAAAGCUGAAUACACAAGAGGAGAGGGAAAGGAGGGAGGGAAGGAGAGAGAGAGAGAAUGAAUAAAUGAAGAUGGGGAGGUUUCUGAGUGUAGAACAGAGGAACAAAUACGCUUCAAAAAAUCAGAAAACAAGAAUAAAGAAGGCCCUUAUCUUAAGCUGGUUGUGCCCCUCAACAGUCACUGCUGGUGACUCCAUGCUGGCUGUGCCCCUCAACAGUCACUGCCGGUGACUCCACGCUGGCUGUGCCCCUCAGUGCCUCUGCUGGUGACAAUGUCGUUAUCUCUGAUCAGUGGCAUGCAGAGCCCAUACUUGCCAGACACAGUUUACAGAAUGCCCAUAGAUAAAACUGUACUUCCACAAACAAAGGUACCAUGGCCUGCCUUUGUUAGUAAAAACAAGAGUCCCAAGUAUCAAUGCCACAUAAAUCAUCUCUCCUUAGGUUUAAAACCUAAGCCAAAGACGGAAAACUCAGACUGAGGGGCAGCUAAUGAUGUAAAGACAACUGUAUGAUACACUGAGACAAGAGAAGGAGAAGCAAGCAGCCGAACUGCCUGUGAGACAUAAUGAAGAUCCUUAGAGAAACUCCAGGUCCCAUAGUUAGGACACUGAAGGAUCCAGAGUGCCAGCUCUCAUCUUGGGGUGGUGGAUGACAAACGUUUUUCAUUUGCCUUUCUUGUGCAUUUUUGUAUUUGGAGAUGUCAUCCAUAAUAAAUACCUUCAUGGGCAGGAAAGGGUUCGAAGGACAAAUGGAACGUCAGCAAAUGUGUUUGGGGGCUGGGGUACACUAUCAGGAUCCGUCCCUGGUGUGCUAACAUCAACAGCAGCAAGGGCUCGAAACCACAGGUAUGGUAGAAGAGACACCGCACUGGGGCUCUGUGUUAUUAAAAGGAAAUCAUUUCAAUGAUGGGGCAGGCGCUACACAAGACCUUGCAGAAGGCACAGAGGCCAUGAUGGCAGGCUCCUGGAUUCAACUGUGAAUGCAGCACAGCAACUGGGGGUGUAUGGUCAUGAAGAAAAGAGGCUCUAUGGACAGAAAACCUUCAGUAGACAUCGGAGGUCAAGCAUGCUGGCUAAGGUGACCAGGAUCCCUGCUGAAGAUCGCUCUGGCUGAUCGUGCAUCUCCAGGACAGGGGAUGGAUGGGAUGAGGAACCUACCAGACAUGUGUGUGUGUGGGUCUGUCUGUCUGUCUGUCUGUCUGUCUGUCUGUCUGUCUGUCUGCUGUCUGUGUCAUUGGGGCUAAAAUUCCUACUAUCUGUGACAAAAGCCAAGCAUUUAGUAUAAUGCAAACCUCCAGUUGCCUGGGCACACAUAAAAGCUAAUCAUCCUCUCCGAUGCGAUCCAUCAUUCUGAUGAAUGAAGUUCUUAGAAUAUUCUCGGAAAAAGUUCCAGCACAGAGGAACUCACAUACACAAAUCCUUGUGGCAAGGAACCACUAUAAGCAAGAGUCCCGAAAAGCCUCUAACUGCACCAGGAAGACACUUUCUUUAAAAGGUGUAAAACCAGUAACAUCAGGGAAAACAACGGUGGGGAAGGCAGCAACAGGGUGGAGCAAACAGACUCAAGGUAAACUCAGUGUAAUCUCAGAGGGCUGGACAGGGUGGGCAACGUGGGGCCAGGCACCUUCAGGCUCAAGCACUAGUGGAUACAGGGGCUCUGGUCAAGAGCCAUCCACAAGGGGGCACUAGAAACCUAAAGUGCACCCCACACUCUUUGGUGAAACAAUGUGUGGUCUUCUCCAGAAGGGGAAUUAGGGUCUCUGGCUCUGUGUGGUUGAAGUGAAGCCUGAGACACCAUCAUAACUACCGCCACAUGCCCAGAAGAUCUGAAGACCCACAAGUGACGGCCUGAUCAGCCAAGAGAGAGAACCCUGGCGUCCACAGAAGGCACUGGAGCGCCGUCCCUAGCUCAGCACUUGCAGCCGGCUUUGCUGUCCACUCCCUCAAGAACAAAGUGGAAAAGGCUCCAGUGUCUGUGGGAUUACAGAUGACGACAGACAUGCUAAAGGGAAACAUAAAAACAGCUGCUCGGAGAAAACAGAUGUUUCCAGGACCAGCAAUUCUCUCUUAAAAACCUCCAUGAGGGGCCAGUGGCUAAAGUGCCUACCGUGCUAGCACAAGAGUAAGGACUGGAAGGCAGCUCCCUAAACCCAAGCCAGAGUCGGGUGGGCGUGGCAGCCCACCUGUCAUUCAGAGAUAGGCAGGCAGGGUCAGGGGCUUCUCUGAGUCAGCUGACUAGUUAAAGUAGCAGUCUGGGUGAGCGCUGGAUUCCAGGGGGAGGCCCUGCCUCAAAGAAUAAGGUGGAGAUGAAUUGAAGGUGCUCAACAUUAACCUUCAGUCUCAAAAGCACAUGUGCACAAGUGCACCCCCCUAAUACACAUACAUACCCCCACAACAGGCAUGCAUACCACACACACAUUUUAAAAAAUAGACUAAAAAUCCCGAGGCAGUGAGAUGGCUCAGCAGGGAAAGGCAUCUGUCACCAGGUCUGAUGGCUGAGUUUGGAAGUAGAAAGCCAGCGGCUACAGGCGUCCACCUGCAUCCCAUAAUACACAGGCAUGUAGAUGCACACCCACCCACAAGUAUUAUAUAAAUUAAAUUAAUCUCAGCGAGUGAUGGAAGCUGGGGUUGUAGUGCUUGCCUGGCACACCUGUGACGCACUGGGUUCAAUCCCCUGCAUUAAAACCAGAUGUGAUGGCACACAUCUGUAAUACCAAGGUUGGGAGGUAGAGGCAGGAGAAGCAGAAGUUCAAGGGCAUCCUGAGCUACAUAGCAAGUUUCCACGUCAACCUGGGGUCUCUGACAUGGAAUACAAUUUCACUAGGGAAUUACUCAUAAAAUAAAGAGUACCCCGAAUUUUUAAGAAUUGAAAAAGCUCAAUGGAAGCAUUGGAUGACGUACUAGCCGGUUUUGUGUGCCAACGUGACACAAGCUGAUGUGGGAGUCCCCUCCCCUCUGUGUGCUGUGAUUGCCAUUAAUGAAUAAAGAAACUGCCUUGGCUUGUU